AGGGGUAAAGCACAGUGGUAGAGCAUUUGUUUGCAGGUCAAGAGGUCCACGAUUUAAAUUCGUGUUCCUCCU
rnacentral:tRNA from 1 species